rnacentral:miRNA from 1 species
AUACUAGGAGUGAAGGGAUCA